rnacentral:rRNA from 1 species
UACGGGGGGUGCAAGUGUUAUUCAAAAUGACUGGGCGUAAAGGGCACGUAGGUGGUUUAUUAAGUUGAAUUUAAAAGCCCAUGGCUCAACUGUGGAAAUAUUUUCAAAACUUUUAGACUUGAGUAUAACCGAGGAUAAUGGAAUUUCUAGUGUAAAGGUUAAAUUUAUAAAUAUUAGAAGGACCUUCAGAGGCGUAGGCGAUUAUCUAAGUUAUUACUGACACUGAGGUGCGAAAGCGUGGGGAUCAAACAGG